rnacentral:rRNA from 1 species
CUAGCAUAUCAUAAGCGGAGGAAAAGAAACCAACAGGGAUUGCCCUAGUAACGGCGAGUGAAGCGGCAACAGCUCAAAUUGAAAGCUGGCUCCGGCCCGCGUUGUAAUUUGCAGAGGAUGCUUCUGGCGAGGUGCCUUCCGAGUUCCCUGGAACGGGACGCCAUAGAGGGUGAGAGCCCCGUAUGGAUGGACACCAACCUGUGUGAAGCUCCUUCAACGAGUCGAGUAGUUUGGGAAUGCUGCUCUAAAUGGGAGGUAAAUCUCUUCUAAAGCUAAAUACCGGCCAGAGACCGAUAGCGCACAAGUAGAGUGAUCGAAAGAUGAAAAGCACCUUGAAAAGGGGGUUAAACAGUACGUGAAAUUGUUGAAAGGGAAGCGCUUGUGACCAGACUUGCGCCGGGCAGCUCAUCAGGGGUUCUCCCCUGUGCACUCUGCCCGGCUCAGGCCAGCAUCGGUUCUCGUGGGAGGAUAAGAACGGUAGGAACGUGGCCCCCCUCCGGGGGGGUGUUAUAGCCUGCCGUACGAUACUCCCGUGGGGACCGAGGUUCGCGCUCCGCAAGGAUGCUGGCGUAAUGGUCAUCAGCGACCCGUCUUGAAACACGGACCAAGGAGUCGUCCAUUAGAGCGAGCGUUUGGGUGUAAAACCCGCACGCGUAAUGAAAGUGAACGCAGGUGAGAGCUUCGGCGCAUCAUCGACCGAUCCUGAUGUCUUCGGAUGGAUUUGAGUAAGAGUUUUAACGGACGGACCCGAAAGACAGUGAACUAUGCUUGUAUAGGGUGAAGCCAGAGGAAACUCUGGUGGAGGCUCGCAGCGGUUCUGACGUGCAAAUCGAUCGUCAAAUAUGAGCAUGGGGGCGAAAGACUAAUCG